rnacentral:hammerhead_ribozyme from 1 species
AUCAGCUGACGGGUCCAAUAUAGGACGAAACGCGCGUCCGGGAU